rnacentral:rRNA from 1 species
AGAGUUUGAUCAUGGCUCAGGACGAACGCUGGCGGCGUGCCUAACACAUGCAAGUCGAGCGGUAAGGCCCUUCGGGGUACACGAGCGGCGAACGGGUGAGUAACACGUGGGCAACCUGCCCUGCACACUGGGAUAAGCCUGGGAAACUAGGUCUAAUACCGGAUACGACGUCGCGAGGCAUCUCGCGAGGUGGAAAGCUCCGGCGGUGCAGGAUGGGCCCGCGGCCUAUCAGCUUGUUGGUGGGGUAAUGGCCCACCAAGGCGACGACGGGUAGCCGGCCUGAGAGGGCGACCGGCCACACUGGGACUGAGACACGGCCCAGACUCCUACGGGAGGCAGCAGUGGGGAAUAUUGCUCAAUGGGCGCAAGCCUGAAGCAGCGACGCCGCGUGAGGGAUGACGGCCUUCGGGUCGUAAACCUCUUUCAGCAGGGACGAAGGUUCGCCCGCGAAUAGCGAGGCGGAUUGACGGUACCUCCAGAAGAAGCCCCGGCUAACUACGUGCCAGCAGCGGCGGUAAUUC